rnacentral:lncRNA from 1 species
CGGAUAAUUGGUCAUUCGUUUAAUGUUUACGUUUGUUGAUUAUUUCAAAUGUAAACCAUCGAUUUGGAAACACGAAAGUCAAGGUAUGAUUCGGAAGGCCUGUUUCCAGAAUGUACUUUCGAGGCUGUUUUUAUCAAGAAACUGUUUUUAUUUUUUAUUAUUAUUUUUUUCCAUCUUCUGAGUACAGAGUGGUGGCGAAAACGAAAAACAGCAUUCGAAAUUGCCGUUUUUGUUAGAAACUGUUUGCCGUCUUUCAGAACAUAAGAUGUUCUUAGCUUUUCCCAUUCAUCAUUUUUUUUUUUAUUGUUUUGUCAUGUUAAAGCUUGUAAAAUGCGCUCUUUUUUUCCGUUUCCGAAGCCGCGUAAUAAUCUCGUAUUAGAGGGACGUGACGAAUGUAAAAAGCCAAAAAAUAAAAUAAAAAAAUAAAGAGUACUGAACAAUUUCUCCACGCGGAUGUUUUUAUCUCAUUUCUGACGUCAUCCCGUCCAUGGCGGAAAAGCUACAAGUGGUUUGACCUCUGGCCAGGCGGCGUCUGUCUGCAGACGGCAGUCUGACUGGGAUCUGAUGCCCGGGAUCACUAGAAACUCGAUAGGCGGUUUGCCGGGGAUAUUAAAAAUGGGGGGCGAAGAAGGGCGGAUAUCUGAUGGAACUCGCGCCACAAGGUUAUGCUGACGUCACAUGUGUACACAAUCGACAUCUCACAUAGACAGUCAUUCUGCACGACAUUUCCUAGACUCGUUAUUGGAUAAACGGGCGCGGGUUUAAUAUUUCUGGGUUGGCAGCUUGUCUGCGGGAUCUCCUCGCACGUGGAGGGAGCAGGGGUUGCAUGAUUUGUACCCUUUUGAAGUGCGCGGUGAUUUAGUGGGGUCUGUCUGUCCAGUAACUGGCAGACGACGACAGCAGCACCUGUCAACGAAACGGUCAAGGUGAACGUUCUUCAAAUAAAUUUAAAAGAGCGCCCCGGCUCCCUUGGCCAGCGCCCCGUUUAGCGGCUCAAUUAAACUUAGCUGUUUACAAUUAACAUGGAUAUUUACAUGAAAUCUGUUUACUUGGAGUAUAAACAGACGGAUCAAAAGUGGUCUCACAUGUUGUUUCAAUGGGUUUAUCGCUAGAAAUGACGGGAAUGUGACAAACUUCGAUAGGGCCAUGUGUUACGCUUGCUAUCAUUACAGCAAUAAUUGUCACAUGCAUGAGCUAGUGUUUACACCUCAUUCUUGUUUCCAUUAUGAUUUGCCAUUAUGUCGUUGUUGAAACACUAAAACAAAGAUACAAUGUAUCAGAUUAGUUGCUCUGAUAGUUUUAUUGUUUACAAAUGUUUCAGUACACCAAAACGCGUGCCACCAUCGCGAUAUAUAAACUCUCGAGAAUUCUACACGCGAAAGUAGUACUUAAACCUCCUAAAAAUUCUCAACAGUGCGGUAUAUAAAUCUAGUGACAUUACGCGUAAUGGCACGCUGAUACAUUUGUAAACAAUCUCCAAGAGAAAUUUAAAAAAAAUCGACAUUCUUUAGAUCUUCAUAAAUUCAUUAGAUAUCGUUCCAAAGAAAACUUCUAAGGAUUUCGCUGCGAUGAUCACGUAGAAUAUCAAUGUGAGGAUUCCAAGCGAAAAUGUUUUAAGGACUCCAGUCAUUGCGUGCCUUUGGUUAAUUUAAGUGGCAUCAAUCCCGGAUACUAUUACUUUUAUGACUAGUUAGAAUAGAUGAAUAAAAAGUGUAAAAAUCUGGAAUAUAAACCGUGGUAUUGGUAUACUCGCGUAAAGAGAGGUAAUUAAUGGUUUCGUCUUGGUAUAUUUUAAAAGGUUCUCGGACAGUAAUAAGUGGCCAGUGAUACGUAUUCAGCGUGAGUACUACCUGUCACUGAAAUGAGGAAAAUUAUGGACAAUUUCCUCACAGCGGGACCACUGGUCAUGUUGGGAGAUCCGGGUUAAAUUCUCAGGACAUUGUCCUCACAAGGGGCUUAGCUCUUUAUCCAUCGUUACGAGUUUUGGAUAUACUAUAUCGUUAAUCGUUUCGUCACCUUUAAGUAUUUUUCUGUUAAAAAAUCAGAGUUCAAGGUCUCUCUUUAAGUCCCAUUGACCUCGGAUUGGAUCACUUAUCUGGAGCAGUAAAGACACCCUCGUAAAAAACUUUUAUGGUGUUGUUUUAAACCUUUAUUGUUUACAGUGUAAAUUCACAGGUUUCUGGCUUAAGUGGCUAAUCCGGAUUUUUUUUUUUCCGAUGAAUAAUUCAUUUGUUUGUUUUUUAAAUAACGAAAACUCGACAUCACAGAAGAUAUCCGAAUCUCUGUCUGGUUCUCUCGUUUCUCCCUUUCACAAAAAAAAAAUCAUCGAGAGUGAUGUUACAGGAUCCACCCGAAAGGAGCCGUUCGGACAAAACUGGUUUUCACAAUGGUCCUCCAGACGUAGAAGAAAUCUGAGAUCAUUGUGAAAGCUGAUUUUGUUGCAAUGGCGACGAUGUGGCGUAAUAUCCGACGACACCCCAAACGGGCGCCAACGUAACCCAUACGGAAGUAAAACGGGCACCGGAAGCUGCACCAUUGCCACCGUCUGACGUCAGAGUUCUUGUUUAUGUUUUGUAUUUUUUUUUUUUUUUUUAAUAGGCGGUCGGCUAGUCUGGCUUAUUUUUCCCCCAACACCCCUGACCGACGGG